UUGCCUCUGAAUUCACUUGUUCUCUAGCCUAAUAUUGAAGGGUUUUGCUGUUGUGCAACUGCUAGGAUUGUCCAUAAUCCAUUAAUUUCAUUUUAAAUGAAGACUAUCACACUAAUGUAAUUAUUAUUUUUCAGGCAUCCAACAAGUCAUUAAAAGUUUUGAAUUUGUAAUUUUAAGAAGUGUUUUGUUUACA